CCUACGGGUGGCAGCAGUGAGGAAUAUUGGUCAAUGGGCGUGAGCCUGAACCAGCCAAGUCGCGUGAGGGAAGAAGGUACUUAGUAUUGUAAACUUCUUUUGUCGGGAACAAAAGCGGAGACGCGUCUCCGUAUGGGUGUACCCGGAGAAAAAGCAUCGGGUAACUCCGUGCCAGCAGCCGGGGUAAUACGGAGGAUGCGAGCGUUAUCCGGAUUUAUUGGGGUUAAAGGGUGCGCAGGCGGGAGAUCAAGUCAGCGGUAAAAUGUCGGGGCUCAACCCCGGCCGGCCGUUGAAACUGGUUUUCUAGAGUGGGAGAGAAGUAUGCGGAAUGCGUGGUGUAGCGGUGAAAUGCAUAGAUAUCACGAAGAACCCCGAUUGCGAAGGCAGCAUACCGGCGCCAUACUGACGCUGAGGCACGAAAGCGUGGGGAUCGAACAGGAUUAGAUACCCGAGUAGUC
rnacentral:rRNA from 1 species